rnacentral:lncRNA from 1 species
AUUGACUCAAAGUUUGCUGAGGAACAAGUCCAGGCAAGUCCUGGGCAAAGGCAGAGAAAUCUUUUGUCUUGAGGACACUGAUGGACAGGUCCUGGCUAAGGGUUGUGAAAUCCUCUAAGGAGCACAGAUGGACAAGGCCGGGGGCAACGAGAGAGAGAUAAGCUGCUGAUAAUGGCCGGGAAACGGUCUUUUUGUGUGGACUUAUCUCGAGGAAGAUGGCCAUCUCAGGAGGUAUACACAGGACUCUUGCUCAAGCACCCAGGGAUGUCACGUAGGCAGCAGAAAAUGGAGGAUAAAAGAGGGUCCAACAACCACGGCGAUGUGGAGGCUGAUCUCUCAUGAUCUCUCACCACGACACGAGCUUUCUGCCUUCAGAUCCUUCUCUACGGACCGUUUGUUGACGGACUUCCCUGGGCCUGCUACCUGAGACCUGCUGCUUCCUCCCUGACCUGCACCCUCUGGUUGCCCAAGACCGGCCUCGCUGCUCCUGCUCUUCGGCCUCGGACCGUCAGAAGGUCGUGCAAUGGGACUGCUGCCGGAUCCUGGUGGAAAGUUUUUCUACAGCUGGAAAUGCUUCAGGGCGAUGCAAGCCAAACAGUUACUGCGUGCUGGGGACUGUUUCCAGAAAUAUGGAGUUCUGGAUAUUUAUCACACAGAGCAGCUGAAGUGAUCUUUCAGGAAGGUCUGUAAUAGACUACAGAUAAGGACAUGUCUAGAAGAAUAAACCAUCACCUUUUCAUUUAAGAGAAAGCAUUUUAAAGAAGAAUACCUUCUUUUUCCAUCUGAUGGGAAGACAAGGAAUCUUUUUUCAUCGUUUCUGUUUUACUCGAGGUA